rnacentral:piRNA from 1 species
UGAGACAAAUGGAUAGCUGGCAUGAAG